rnacentral:rRNA from 1 species
AACGAACGCUGGCGGCAUGCCUAACACAUGCAAGUCGAACGAGACCUUCGGGUCUAGUGGCGCACGGGUGCGUAACGCGUGGGAACCUGCCCUUAUGUUCGGAAUAACUCCCCGAAAGGGGUGCUAAUACCGGAUAAUGUCUUCGGACCAAAGAUUUAUCGCCUUUGGAUGGGCCCGCGUUGGAUUAGCUAGUUGGUAGGGUAAAAGCCUACCAAGGCGACGAUCCAUAGCUGGUCUGAGAGGAUGAUCAGCCACACUGGGACUGAGACACGGCCCAGACUCCUACGGGAGGCAGCAGUGGGGAAUAUUGGAAAAUGGGCGAAAGCCUGAUCCAGCAAUGCCGCGUGAGUGAUGAAGGCCUUAGGGUUGUAAAGCUCUUUUACCCGGGAUGAUAAUGACAGUACCGGGAGAAUAAGCGCCGGCUAACUCCGUG